UGCCCAGCCCGUCGUCCUCACAGCGAAGCAACAGAUUUGGUAACCAUGACGGCGACGAGAGACCGGGACAAAGGAUCUGCGCAUCCUUACCAUGACCAGCGGAACGGAACCCUCCAGAUCCUACAAACAGACACCUUUAAUUCUGGUCCAAGUUUUUAAAUACAAGACGCGUGAAACAGACACUGGGCUUAGACGCUGGACACGACAAAGUCUACGGAGAUCAAGCACCGUAAGAACAAGGCAGGCAAUCAGAUAAACAAAGGUUUGUCUCCUUGGUUGAUGUCGUGAGUCAUUCGGCCCGAUUUUAAAGGAAGUCUGGAAGUCAUCAGCGUCUUCGUAUUCAUCCCAAAGAGGACUUGACACAAGGCGGCGAUGGAAAGCGAGGGAAGAAGCUGACCAGAGUGUAAAUAUUGUGUAAUAAAGUUUAUACAUAUG
rnacentral:lncRNA from 1 species